UACGGGGGGGGCAAGCGUUGUUCGGAAUUACUGGGCGUAAAGGGUGCGUAGGCGGCUUUUUAAGUCGGAUGUGAAAACUCUGGGCUCAACCCAGAGACUGCAUCCGAAACUGGAGAGCUAGGGUUCUGGAGGGGAAAGCGGAAUUCCUGGUGUAGCAGUGAAAUGCGUAGAUAUCCGGAGGAACACCGGUGGCGAAGGCGGCUUCCUGGACCGACACUGACGCUGAGGCGCGAAAGCUAGGGGAGCAAACGGG
rnacentral:rRNA from 1 species